rnacentral:hammerhead_ribozyme from 1 species
AUCCAGCUGACGAGUCCCAAAUAGGACGAAACGCGCGUCGUGUAU